GUACCGCUGAAGAGUGCGAAAGUAGGACGAAACAGCUGUCCAGUAC
rnacentral:hammerhead_ribozyme from 1 species